AAAUGACUCUCGGGCGUUUCCCUCAUACCCCUGAGUUCUGCAUGAGUGCAGAGGAUUGAACUGAUGGGGGUAACGUGGAGCCUGGAAGAGCUGUUUGCAUCAGAGCCGGCAGGAAGAAAAUGCUGAAAACAGGAGAUUGGUAUUGGUUAAGUUAACCCUGAAACAGGAAACGGGAAGCACUGCAGCUCUUAUGGGAAAAUCCACUGGUUCUACUCUGUCCCCUCAGCAAAGGAUAGUUACACAGUUAUCAAGCUGACUUAAAGGCUGGGCAGCCCUGGCCAGGAUCUCCUCCCCUGCAGGAAGCAUGGCACGGUGACCUUGGUCAACUCAGGCAUCAGGACACCAGGAUAGGCUGAACCACGAAAGAGUUUUCUAUUCUCUGGCCCUUCCUUGGGCUCGAAGCUGUUUUUAUAAAACUCAAGAGUAGAGCAAGGCGCAAAAGAGUGUUUUCUGCUUUGGAUUUAAGUGGGUGAGAACUGGAGAGGAAAAACGCGGUGGGUGAAUUACUAUUCUUGGACGCUCUGCAAACGUUUCACCUCCUGGGCCCUGAAGCGGGCCGGACAGGGAAGCAACGUGUGAGCGUCAUCCAGAGGCCAGGCGCUGGCAGAGGCCUGAGAGGGGCAGGGGGAGGAGGGACACUGAUGGACGCCUCUGUGGUGCCUGCUGACUUGGGCACUGGUGUGGGUGGGGUGCCCAGAGCAGGCUCUAGGAGGCGGAUCCCUGUGGGAUGGUUGUUGGUGCGGACUCUCCCUAGCCUAAACUAGCGAAUUCUCAUAAAGCGGCUUGGAGUAACUCCUAGGGUCACCACUUGUUAGUUUGGAACUAAGUAGGUAGGUGGAGCAUGCUCUGGUCAGUCUCUUUGCAAACACGUGCCUUUGGCCACCAGAGGGCUGGGGAGGGGAGACUGGAAGGCUGGGUCCUCCCGGGCUGUGGCUCAGGGACUCACUGCUGGCUUGGCGCGCUAGUCCCGCCCUGGGGGGUCGUACAGUGCACCCCUUCUGUACUGCUCCACAUGCUUAAUAUCCGCCUGAGGACGACCCCGUCGUCCCCACAGAGGGGAAGGUGGCCCCACACCAGCGCCACCUGCAACCGCCCGCGAGCCGCGCCUUCUCGGGUCUCCCCGCGCGCCCCGCCGCCACCCCUACGCCGCCCGCGCCUCCUCGCGCGCUCGGAGCCUCGUCCCGGAGGACCCUCGGCCUGCGCCGGACUGGCCGUGACCGUGCCCCGCCAGGGGUCCGCCCGCCGCUGACAGCGCGUCCGGGGCGCUCCCGCGGCCCGUGCAGGCGCGCUCGCGGUCAUCGUUCUUCCAGGGGGCGAACGAGCAAAGCGGACUUCCUUCUAGACGCUCACCGCAGCCACAGACAGUAAUAGUUUCAAAUCCGCCGAGGCUGUCAACCUGCCAUCUUUUCCUCCAAGUGUAUAAUGGGACACUGUGUCUAGGUAUGUUCCGGGUCCUCCACCUCGAUCAAGGGGAGACGCUUGUUCUAAUGUAACUUGCCGCCGACGCUUGCUCUUUGUGCUCACCAGCCUGAUUUCUAGAACAUCCUCGAAACAAAACGAAACGCAAUUUUAAAAUAACUCUUUAAUAAUGUAUUCUAGACUUUUUCAGGGAAUGAGCAUCUUCCAGAAUCUAGCCUUUCCUCCCUUUUGGAUUUUGGACAUUUACUCUUCUCUCUCCCCCUCACGGAGUCUCCUCUCGCCACCAGCAGCCCCCUGGCCCCCUCCCUCUCUGAGGCAGCCCGCCGUGCCCUCCUGGCUCUCUGAGGCAGCCCGCCGUGCCCUCCUGGCUGAACGGCAGCCUAGACCCUCUUACACUCCCGGCCUCCAACUGCGCGCGAUCAAAACGCAGUGCCUGCCUACUCAUUCGGUACAAACUGAGCGGAACGACUAGGGUUUAAGAUGCUCUGCUGAGAACUGAGGAGCAUACAAAGAACUCUGCCCCUCGAAUAACUGAUAGGCUGGUUUCUCAGGCCUUGAAGGUGGCAGGCUUACUAUUCUGACAGACUCAACUGGAAAUUAACAGCUGAAUGCAUUACCCUCUCAGAGACAUUUGCUUUCAAAAGAUUUAUUAUGAUGUACUUGAUAAAUGGCUUAAAAAGUUUCCAGUGAGAAUCGCGAAUUGUAGGUAAUACUAACAACACAAGCAGAAGCCCCAGAAAAGAAAAUCGUCAAGCUGGCCAUUCUACUUCUCGUGCAAGCUCUCUGUAAAUCAUGCUAUGAAAUAAAAACAAUGGUAAUUCUCGUGAGAUUAGCCCAGAAGUCAACAACAAAAAAAUGUGAAUUAUCUAAGUAGACCGUUUCAAAUGUGGCUUUCCACACACUAUCCUUAAUGAUGAAUUGCACCCUUUGUGUUGCCUGUCAAGCAACACUAUUAUUAGCUAAUAAAUACGUGAAGAUUUCAUUACUAGUGUUUAAAAUUAAAACGUACUUUAUAAUUAUCUUUAACUUGCUUAAUUUUAAUUUAUGUGUUUAUAAUAUACCUCACAUAUUAGUUUACAGUACCUGUACAUUGUUAAUUAAUGAACUAAUAUACUUUCACUGGGAAUCUGUGCACAAAACAUUUUUACUGAUAAUGAUAAUGGUAUAAGACCAAAAGAUGUUUGGAAGGUCUUCAGACCAUGGGGAAUCUACCUAUUUAGUUCGUAAACUCUUUUUUUUUCUUUUUUAAAGAUUGGCAUUCUACUUCUCGUGCAAGCUCUCUUUAAGUCAUGCUAUGACUUUUUUUCUUUUUCUUCUUCUCCCCAAAGCCCCCCCAGUACAUAGUUGUAUAUUCUAGUUGUAUGUCCUUCUGGUUGUGCUAUGUGGGACGCCGCCCCAGCACACAGGAUCCAAACCAGCGAAACCCUGGGCCCGUGAAGCAGAGCGCACGAACUUAACCAUUCAGCCACGGGGCCAGCCCCUGGUUCAUAAAUUCUUGAAGAUUAAAACUGCCAUUUCCCCUGACAUUGCCCUGUACUUAUGCUUACUGGGCCUUCAAAAUCUGUACCAGAAUGUUUCUGCCAGCAUCAAAAUAAUUAAAAAUAGCUUUUUGAAGGAUCCAAGUCCAGUUCUAAAUAGUGGAGAGCAGAACUGUGCCCGCCUCUCUUCUUUUUAACUUACAUUUAAAUAACCUGAUAAGCCUAUUGGGUGAGUUCGCUUCAUGCCUGCUUGGCACGCCCCUCCUUUGCCAUUCAAACAGAGAAUAGCCGUGACUCAUCUGCUGGCCUGUCGUUAAAAAGAAGAGGUGGAUGCCAAGUGAGCUAAAACAGAAGUCCAUGGAUUGAGCAAAACUUCUCCAAACUUAAAUGGAUAAAAGUGAAUAACCCUGUUCGACACUUGAAACAACUUGGGGACGUUGAACAAUGAUACUGUCUGCAGCUAAAUUAUGCAUCAAGAUCCUAAACAAAACCAGGUCUACCCCAGGGGCCAGGUUUUGAUAUGAUUAUGGUUGAGGAGGUAAAUUGGUAACAAUUUGCCCUAAUAGUUACAGACUAGAAUGGACUCUUCCAUGCAAGUAGCACAGAAUUCCAGAGUCUGGGUCAGCUUCAACAGAUUUUAAGUCCCUAUUGAAAAGUCCAGUCUCUCCAUAGGCACUCUGAAAAUGGGCUUCUGUUUAAGCUAAAACGUAGGCUCCUGGCUCCUGGAUUUACAAAACAGACAGUCUGUUCUGAUGCCUGCAAUGUGGAAUCUAAAGCAUGCGAAUAUUACUUUACAACGGAGGAUAACAGCAUUUCAGACACUUAAGCUAAGUGUCAAAGGUUUAAGAGCAGUAAAGAAACUAUUUUACUUGUCUUACCCAAACUUAGCAGCCAGGGAACCCUUCCUUCCAUCAUCCCGUAAUUCUUCCUAAUGUUACACAAUGAACAACAGUGCUAGCAGCACGAAGGUUCACGAACACACUUUGGUAAGUGCUGCUCCAGAUCAAAUUGCUUCUUUUACUGGACCGUAGAACCUGACAUGUUUUCCUUUUGUUUUGACUUCCAGAUCCUUAAAGCUAUAUUUAUUUUAAACUCUCAACGAGUAAUUUAUUUGAGGCUCCUGGUACAUAUGUCUCUUUACUUCUUCUGAUAUUUAUAAAGAUUGUUUCUGUUUGCAAAAUUAAUGUGUGCUUAUUGUAGAAAAGUUGGAAAUUGAAGAAAAUAUAAAGAAGAAAAUAUAAAUCUUUCAUAAUUCUAGUACUUAGAGAUAAUCACUGUUUUGUUACAUUUAUUCCCAAUCUUGCUUUUAUAGUAUGCAUAUAUUUUGUUAGCUUAAAAAAUUGGGAUUAUAUUUUAUAUAAACUUGUAGACUGCUUUUUCCACUAUUAAUAUUAAAUAUUUUCCCAUGACAAUUAAAUGUAUCUUCAAAACAUAAUGUCCACUAGCUGCAUAAUAGUCUGUAAUAUGUAUAUACCUUCAUUAAUGUAAUUAUUGUUAGACAUUUAAUUUUUUCAAUUUUAAUUAUAAUAAAUUAUAUAGUAACGGGGUAAAAUUUUUUUAAGUCGUGAUACACAUUGCCAAAUUGUUUUCCAGAAAUUUUUGCCAAUCUACCCUCCUACCAGCAAUGAAUGAGAAUACCUAUCUCCACACACCUUCACCAGUAUUGAAUAAUAUAGUUUUUUCUUUUUAACUUCACCAAUCUGGUAGGUAAAAAAUAGCAUCUCAUUUUAAUUUGAGUUAAUUUGAUUGCUAAUUAAAUAUUUCUUCAUUUGUUAAUUUCCAAUUUGUGUUUCUUCCCUGCUCAUUGUCUUUUUCCUAUAUUGAAGUGUCUAUAUUCAUUUCAUUGACUUACAAGAAUUCUUUAGAUAGUAAUAAUUUUAAUAUUUUCUCGUGCAUAUAUUUUCAUUUGUUUAAUAUUAGAAGUUUUUAAUUUUUGUAGACAAACCUAUCGAUGUUUUCUUCUGUGGUUUCUCCCUUUGCUGACGCCACCCUUCCCAGGAUCAGCUCUGUUUCCUGUGUUUCUGUUUCUUUGUUUGUAUAUGGUAUGAGGCAGGAAUCUAAUUUCAGUCUUUUACAUAGAAUAUCAUUUCUCCACUAAUUUGUAAUGCCUCCGCUAUCUUACGUCAGGUUCUCAUAUAAGCGUGUGUUUAUUCUCUAUUCCAUUGACCUAUCUUCGGUCUCUUCUAUUCCAUCUGUCUAUUUUGAUUCAAUACCACUGUGUUUUAAGUACUGUAGUUUCAUGAUCAUUUCCUACAUCUAACAGUUCAAGCCCUUCUUCUUAGUUCUUUUUCUUUUUCAGAAAUAUUUUAGCUAUUCUCAAAUCUUUUAUUCUUUCAUAUGAAUUCUAAGAACAAUUUGUGAUACUCCACCAAAACUUUUCUUGUAGUAAGUAUUGGAAUUGCAUUGGCUCUACAGAUCAAUUUGUGCAGAAUUUACAUCUCUUUGAUAUUGAUCUCUCCAUUCAUGAAACCUGGUCUAUUUCUCUAUCUAUUUAGAUCUUCCACAUCUUUCAAUAAUAUUUUAUAAUUGGUUGCAUAGAGUUCGUGCACAUUUUUGUUCAUAUUAAUGUGAAGUAUCUUGCAGUUUCUCGUUUUUUCCUAAUACAUUUUCUAGUUGGUUAUUGCAUAAAAAUGUUAUUAAUUUUUUAAACCAACUUCAUUAAAGUAUAAUUACAUAAAAUAAAUGCAUACAUUUUAAGUGUACAGUUAGAUGAGUUUUGACGAACAUAUACACUCAUGUAGCCAACACCUCCGUCCUGAUACAGAACAUUUCCAUCACCUCAAAUGUGCCCCAUCUCUACCCACAACCCCGAGCCCCACAGAUUCACUGAUCUGCUUCGUAUCGCUAUAAAUCAGACUUGUUUCUCCUAGAACUGUGUACAAAUAGAAUAACAUAUCUGUCUUCCUUUGCUCAGAAUAAUGUUUUUAAAAGCCAUCCAGAUUGUGUGUAUCAGUAGUUAAUUUCUUUACAUUGCUUCUGUGGUGUAGAUGUACCGUAAAUUGUGUAUCCAUUCAUCUGCUGAUUAACAUUUGGGUUGUUUUCAAUUGUAAUUUUAAAUAAAGCUGCCAUGAACAUUCACGUACAAGUCUUUGUGUGAGCACACAUUUUCACUUCUCUUGACUAAAUAGCUAGAGGUGGAAUUGCCGGCCCUACGAUAAGUGUCUGCUUCACUUUACAAAAAGCUACCAAACUGUUUUCUAAAACUGAAGUACUAUUUUACAUUCCCACCUGUAACGCAUUCAGUUGCUCCGCAUCUUUGCUAACAGUUGGCAAUCUGAACCUUUAGAAAUUUGGUAAUUUGACUCUUUCAGCAAAUGUAUCCAUUGCACUUAAAUUUUCAAAAUCAUUGAAUUUUAAUGGCUAUUAUCCUUUAAUGUCUUUAGGAUCAUACUGAUAUCCUCUUUUUUAUUGACCAGUCUAGCUAGAUUUAUCCACUUUUAUCAAUUAAAAAAGAAAACUUUGUUUUAUUUUCCGUAUUACUUGUCUGUUUUGUAUUUCAUUGAUUUGUACUCCUGUUUUGAUUAUUUCCUUCCUACUUACUUUGGGUUUAACUUAUUCUUCUAGCAGCUUAAGUUGGAACUUGAGUAGUUGAUUUUAGACCUUUUUUCAAUUUUGUAAUAUAAACAUUUAAAGCUACAAACUCCCCUCUAAGUGCUACUUUUACGCUGCAUCCCACAAGUGACGUUAUUUUUAUUUUCAUUUUUAUUCAGUUCAAAAUAUUUUCUGAUUUCCUUU
ensembl:lncRNA